rnacentral:tRNA from 1 species
GCCUGGAUGGCUCAGUUGGUUAAGCAUCUGACUUCGGCUCAGGUCAUGAUCUCACAGUUUGUGGGUUCGAGCCCCGCAUCGGGUU